AGCGUUGUUGUAUACAGUAUGCUUCUAUUAUAAACAUGUGCGGUUGGUAGUAGCAGUAUGUUUCCAUUGGAGGAAGCGCAUUGUAGCAGUCAAGAGACAGGAGCCAAUUGCUGCUUUCACAGUGUCACCUGAUUCAGGUAAGCUAAUCAACUAAUAUUGAACAAAUAAUGGUUCACAGCUGGUGUAUGAAUAUGAUGUAUCGAGUGGUGCAUGACUCCAGAAUCCAAUUCAGACAACUUGCCUCCCAGUUUUUUAAGAUUUUCUUGUUUUUUUUCUGGAGUAACUUACUGGCAACACUUUGUCGAUGGAGGCGAGGAAAACAAAUAGCCCCCUUAAUAAACCUCGAACAGAACUAUCACUGUUUGGGGUGGCCGUCUGCCUCGACCGGUUGGGUUGAGAGAGAGAGAGAGAGAGAGAGCAGAGGGACAGAGAGCAGAUAAAUGCAUUUUUUAACAUAACCCUUAAUGGCAUUAUUAGUACUCAGUGGUAGGAAGUAACGAAGAAUAAAUUCUUUGUUAAGUAGAUUUUUCAGUUGUCUGUACUAUACCUGAGUAUUUCUUUUUCUGACGACUUUAACUUUUACCUCCUCCAUAUAAAAACUGAAAUCUCUACAUUCUACUCCUUAAUUUGUCAAAAUUGUCUCGUUACUUUUUUCAGCCUCUGACGAUGAUGACACGACAUCAAAAAGGUCACGACUGACUGAUUGAUUUUGAUUUGGGGGGCUUUUAAGGUGAAUACAACAGAAACAAAAGUGCCACAAAGGAAAAUGAACCAGGGAGAUUUGAAGACGCAACAUAUUCCACAUCCAUUACCUUAUCUCAAGAGAAUUGUUUCAUUGUCAGCUCUGACAAUGAUUGGUGCUCAAGUAAAUACUGUACUGAAUAGCAGAUGUAAUGGCAUUUGUUUUAGCUGCAUCUCUGGAAGCAGAAGCGUCUAUACAACAAUGGGGACAGCAAAAGAUUCGCUCCCAAAAGCAUCGUGCUGCAGGAAGAAAAUACGUUCACCCGGCACAGCGCAACACAGCUUCCUGUCUGAACUGCUGCACCAAAACCCUAUGAACCACAGACAGCACCUGGUGGCGUCUCUAACGACAUGCGUACGUGUACGUCCACACAAGUCGGAACACAUGCAAUUUUAUUCUGCAGUUGCUAUUCUGGAUUUUAUAAUGCACAAUGUUUUAUAUACACAACAUAUCAUCAAAGUUGUCUGUCCACGUACUGUACUGCACAAAAGGCACAAACACUCAUUCCCCUUGCACAUUUAAGCACAGAUCACCCUUCGCAAGUACCAGACACCCAAAUGUUUAGCACCCCCUUGUGGAUGCCAGUAGAGCCACACUCGAGGUGAGAUGUAUUCAUCUUAACUUUAUUCAUGACUAUGUUUUAUGCGCAUGUACAUGUGCAAACUAAUACAGUGCAUUACAAGUUCUAUACAUAUAAACAUAUAUUUUUUGCAUCAAAUAAAUUUGUAAAAUCACACAUACAGCACAUCACGGACAUUCUGAACUGUGCAUAGCAGAAUAAAUGCAUUGCAAUAUUAAUAGCAUGAAAGAGGACAACUAUGAGCAAAUGGUUACAGAUGACAUGGCAACACAGUUUGGGAGUUCACACACAUUAUGUGCUUGUAUGAUCUAGAGACAGAUUUUGAGCCAACUUGAGAAUAGUUUAAGAGAGAAAUGUGUGAUUUGUUGCAGAUUCUUUGUUAAAAUCGUCUUGCAUGCAAUUGCAUAGCCCGUAUGUUGCCUUUGAGGUGAGUCAGAGCCAGAUCUCCUCACUGCUGGUGCUAUUCACCUUGUAGAUGUAGCCCACCAUUGGAUAUCUGGCAAAGCCUGGGUGUGGCACGGAAGCAAGAUUGGACAAUUAAAGAAAUGACCACACUUUUACUUGUCUAUAGAGAACCCACAUUUUGAAAUAAUAAAUGCAAACGCGCCUCCUGACCUCUCGCAGCAUAGGCUAAAGACAGAUCUUCAUCCUCCUCAUCUUUCUUCUUCUCCCCACCACUGAUUUGCUGGGUGUUCUCUCCUGGUUUGGAGAGCAAUGCAGAGGUAUUGGAGCAAUGGAUGAAAUAUAAAAAG